rnacentral:rRNA from 1 species
ACAGCAGUAGCCGCGGUAAAACAGAGGGUGCGAGCGUUAAUCGGAUUUACUGGGCGUAAAGCGUGCGUAGGCGGCUUCUUAAGUCGGAUGUGAAAUCCCUGAGCUUAACUUAGGAAUUGCAUUCGAUACUGGGAAGCUAGAGUAUGGGAGAGGAUGGUAGAAUUCCAGGUGUAGCGGUGAAAUGCGUAGAGAUCUGGAGGAAUACCGAUGGCGAAGGCAGCCAUCUGGCCUAAUACUGACGCUGAGGUACGAAAGCAUGGGGAGCAAACAGGAUUAGAUACCCCAGUAGUCCCUGUCUCUUAUAA